AGCGAACGCUGGCGGCAGGCCUAACACAUGCAAGUCGAACGAACUCUUCGGAGUUAGUGGCGGACGGGUGAGUAACACGUGGGAACGUGCCUUUUGGUUCGGAAUAACUCAGGGAAACUUGUGCUAAUACCGAAUGUGCCCUUCGGGGGAAAGAUUUAUCGCCAUUAGAGCGGCCCGCGUCUGAUUAGCUAGUUGGUGAGGUAACGGCUCACCAAGGCGACGAUCAGUAGCUGGUCUGAGAGGAUGACCAGCCACACUGGGACUGAGACACGGCCCAGACUCCUACGGGAGGCAGCAGUGGGGAAUCGUGCGCAAUGGGCGAAAGCCUGACGCAGCCAGGCCGCGUGAAUGAUGAAGGUCUUAGGAUUGUAAAAUUCUUUCACCGGGUACGAUAAUGACGGUACCCGGAGAAGAAGCCCCGGCUAACUUCGUG
rnacentral:rRNA from 1 species